rnacentral:lncRNA from 1 species
AGUCAUGGCUUUGAUACCAUGUUAGAAGUGGACUUUAAGCCUUAACUCAACCCCACAAAACCGGCUUGUAGGAUGAGGUUUGUACCCACUUAUAUACACUUAAAUGGCCUCAUCUCUAGUCGAUGUGAGACUUCCAACAGUCUUUCAAGCUUUUUUUCAUUCCUUGGUGAUUUCACUCAGUUUUUAGCUCUGGAUUUAGGUUGAGGUAGUUCUAGC